rnacentral:rRNA from 1 species
UACGUAGGGUGCAAGCGUUAAUCGGAAUUACUGGGCGUAAAGCGUGCGCAGGCGGUUUGUAAGUUUGUCGUGAAAUCCCCGGGCUCAACCUGGGAAUGGCGAUGAAGACUGCAAGGCUAGAAUCUGGCAGAGGGGGGUAGAAUUCCACGUGUAGCAGUGAAAUGCGUAGAGAUGUGGAGGAACACCGAUGGCGAAGGCAGCCCCCUGGUCAAGAUUGACGCUC